ACUGUGAAGUCACAAGAGGCCCUGAGCUCUGUGGGCCCCAGGUGCCCCGGGAAAACUUGGGGGAGAAUGGGCAUCCCACCCCAGCACUUUCUAGGAAGAAGGGCAGCAUUUUGAAGGGCUGGAAGUAGAGGAAGGAGGUUGCGGGUAGAAGACUCCAUACUUUCUGUGACGCCUAUUCCUUAGGUAGGAACUUAGGAACCUCAGCUUGUGAUGAAUGUUUUCUCAGUAUCCUAUGCUGAAAACAGGUAGAUACUAAUAUCGAUCUUCAAGGGAGGGCUGUUGAGUAUUGAAUAAGACAAAAACAUGGAAGCAAUCAGCACCAUGCUGGAGAGCCUUUAUAUAACCAAAGAUAUUUUUGGACCAUGAAUUCAGAAAUUCUCGGAGCCACCCAUCAGUGCCUGAGCUUCAGUGAGUCCAUAUCCCAUGUCACCCACGGCAAAGGAGACUCUAAGACUUCUGAAGAGUUUCUUGCUUCUUUCCUGUGGGGCAGUGACUCCACUUCCCAGCAGUAAUGGAAUAUCCUGAAUUAGCUACAUUAAUGUUAGAACCAUUUGGACCUCACCCAGGACUUCAACUACAUUAUGCUAAAGUUACAGAACCCAAAUUUGGCAACUGUCUGCAUCUGAACAACAGAAGUUUCAACAUUCUGCCAACAGAGUAACUCCUGGACGAUUGGCACAGAAGAAGGCACAAGGCAAAUACCCAUCUCUGUACACCCUGUGCUACUGUGUCAUGUGCUGCUCCAGGCAACUCCAAUGGAUUGGCCACCCUGGCCAAUGUGCCCUCCAAACACCAGCACUGAGUAGAAAGAGGCUCUGAUUCAUGAAAUGUGAAUUUAUGACAGUUGCCACUCUUAAAAAAAAAAACAAACAGACAGAACUUGAGCAAUACAUGACUGAUGCAUUCUCAGCCUGCUUCCUGUGUUCCAUCUGUCUUUCUGCCAGUGCAUUCACCCUCCAGGUUUGAAAGUAGUCGGGCAAGAAAGUACUAAACAUAGAGAAAGGGCAAUUCCAAAAGAACAAAUGAUUGCUUAAUUUAGGCUGACAUUACCCAGUUGCUGGGGGUAUGGGCCAUGGGGAUGGGCCAUGUUCACCACUUAGGUUGGGCAAAUUCCCAAGAUGCCUUUUGACAUAGUAAUGAGGGGGAAUACAUCACUCAUGCCCACU
rnacentral:lncRNA from 1 species